GAUGAACGCUGGCGGCGUGCCUAAUACAUGCAAGUCGAGCGAACGGACGAGAAGCUUGCUUCUCUGAUGUUAGCGGCGGACGGGUGAGUAACACGUGGAUAACCUACCUAUAAGACUGGGAUAACUUCGGGAAACCGGAGCUAAUACCGGAUAAUAUUUUGAACCGCAUGGUUCAAAAGUGAAAGACGGUCUUGCUGUCACUUAUAGAUGGAUCCGCGCUGCAUUAGCUAGUUGGUAAGGUAACGGCUUACCAAGGCGACGAUGCAUAGCCGACCUGAGAGGGUGAUCGGCCACACUGGAACUGAGACACGGUCCAGACGCCUACGGGAGGCAGCAGUAGGGAAUCUUCCGCAAUGGGCGAAAGCCUGACGGAGCAACGCCGCGUGAGUGAUGAAGGUCUUCGGAUCGUAAAACUCUGUUAUUAGGGAAGAACAUAUGUGUAAGUAACUGUGCACAUCUUGACGGUACCUAAUCAGAAAGCCACGGCUAACUACGUG
rnacentral:rRNA from 1 species